GCGAAAGUAGCUCAGCUGGUAGAGCAUGACCUUGCCAAGGUCAGGGUCGCGGGUUCGAAUCCCGUCUUUCGCU
rnacentral:tRNA from 1 species